rnacentral:rRNA from 1 species
CAGAGACCUCAAGCGUUAUCCGGAAUCAUUGGGCGUAAAGCGUACCGAUAGGUGGUUUACAAAGUCAGAAGUGAAAUCUUUAAGCUUAACUUAGAGACUGUCUUUUGAAACUUGUAAACUAGAGGGGCAAAGAGGAAGCUGGAACGAACGGUGUAGUAGUGAAAUGCGUUGAUAUCGUUCGGAACACCAAUAGCGUAGGCAGGCUUCUGGGUGCCACCUGACACUGCUAGGACGAGAGCGUGGGUAGCGACAAGGAUUAGAUUACCCUUUUAGUCCACGCUAGUAAACGAUGAUGAUUAGGUGCGUAGGGAGUAUCGACCCUUCUUAGUACCAUAGCUAACGCGUUAAAUCAUCCGCCUGGGGAGUACGGCCGCAAGGCUA